CCACGAGAGUGUUUACCAUAUUUGCUAAGCAUUUGUUUGAGAUUAAUAUACAAUAGGAAGCGGAAGUGAAAGCGGGCAACGGAAGCAAAAAUUUUCCAACAGGAACUGAAAAAUACAAAUAUAGAACACAGUUCAUAGUUCACAGCUAAAAAGAGUGUUAAGAGCAAAAGAAAAAAAAAAAAAAAAAUUUAAACUUUUACAGAGGAAAAAGGCGAAUGCAAUAAAAUGUUAAAAUACGUAUUUACCGCCGUGUUUAAGGAUGUCCGUAUUAAUGCCGGACGCGGUGCUAUCAUCUCAGAUCCCGGAAAGGUUGCGGGCUGAGCAG